UACGUAGGGGGCAAGCGUUGUCCGGAAUUAUUGGGCGUAAAGAGCGUGUAGGCGGUCCGGUAAGUCAGCUGUGAAAGUCAAGGGCUCAACCCUUGAAAGCCGGUUGAUACUGUCGGGCUAGAGUCCGGAAGAGGCGAGUGGAAUUCCCGGUGUAGCGGUGAAAUGCGCAGAUAUCGGGAGGAACACCAAUGGCGAAAGCGGCUCACUGGCCGGAAUCUGACACUGAGGUGCGAAAGCUAGGGUAGCAAACGGG
rnacentral:rRNA from 1 species